rnacentral:rRNA from 1 species
UACGUAGGGGGCUAGCGUUGUCCGGAAUUACUGGGCGUAAAGCGUGCGCAGGCGGUGAUGUAAGACAGUUGUGAAAUCCCCGGGCUCAACCUGGGAACUGCAUCUGUGACUGCAUCGCUGGAGUGCGGCAGAGGGGGAUGGAAUUCCGCGUGUAGCAGUGAAAUGCGUAGAUAUGCGGAGGAACACCGAUGGCGAAGGCAAUCCCCUGGGCCUGCACUGACGCUCAUGCACGAAAGCGUGGGGAGCAAACAGG